GGGGAACAACAGUUAGAAAUGACUGCUAAUACCGCAUAUGCCUUAGAAUCACAUGGUUCAAAAGGGAAAGGAGCAAUCCGCUGAUAGAUGGGCUUGCGUCUGAUUAGCUAGUUGGUGGGGUAACGGCCUACCAAGGCGACGAUCAGUAGCCGAACUGAGAGGUUGAACGGCCACAUUGGGACUGAGAUACGGCCCAGACUCCUACGGGAGGCAGCAGUCGGGAAUAUUGCGCAAUGGAGGAAACUCUGACGCAGUGACGCCGCGUGCAGGAAGAAGGUUUUCGGAUUGUAAACUGCUUUAGACAGGGAAGAACAAAGACAGUACCUGUAGAAUAAGCUCCGGCUAACUACGUGCCAGCAGCCGCGGUAAUACGUAGGGAGCGAGCGUUAUCCGGAUUUAUUGGGUGUAAAGGGUGCGUAGACGGGAAGUCAAGUUAGUUGUGAAAUCCCUCGGCUUAACUGAGGAACUGCAACUAAAACUGAUUUUCUUGAGUACUGGAGAGGAAAGUGGAAUUCCUAGUGUAGCGGUGAAAUGCGUAGAUAUUAGGAGGAACACCGGUGGCGAAGGCGACUUUCUGGACAGAAACUGACGUUGAGGCACGAAAGUGUGGGGAGCAAACAGGAUUAGAUACCCUGGUAGUCCACACCGUAAACGAUGGAUACUAGGUGUAGGGGAUAUUAAAAUUCUCUGUGCCGCCGUCUAACGCAAUAAGUAUCCCACCUGGGGAGUAC
rnacentral:rRNA from 1 species